AUUGAACGCUGGCGGCAGGCCUAACACAUGCAAGUCGAGCGGAUGAGUGGAGCUUGCUCCAUGAUUCAGCGGCGGACGGGUGAGUAAUGCCUAGGAAUCUGCCUGGUAGUGGGGGACAACGUUUCGAAAGGAACGCUAAUACCGCAUACGUCCUACGGGAGAAAGUGGGGGAUCUUCGGACCUCACGCUAUCAGAUGAGCCUAGGUCGGAUUAGCUAGUUGGUGAGGUAAAGGCUCACCAAGGCGACGACCCGUAACUGGUCUGAGAGGAUGAUCAGUCACACUGGAACUGAGACACGGUCCGGACUCCUACGGGAGGCAGCAGUGGGGAAUAUUGGACAAUGGGCGAAAGCCUGAUCCAGCCAUGCCGCGUGUGUGAAGAAGGUCUUCGGAUUGUAAAGCACUUUAAGUUGGGAGGAAGGGCAGUAAGUUAAUACCUUGCUGUUUUGACGUUACCAACAGAAUAAGCACCGGCUAACUUCGUGCCAGCCGCCGCGGUAAUAC
rnacentral:rRNA from 1 species